rnacentral:rRNA from 1 species
AGUGAACGCUGGCGGUAGGCCUAACACAUGCAAGUCGAACGGCAGCACAGUAAGAGCUUGCUCUUACGGGUGGCGAGUGGCGGACGAGUGAGGAAUACAUCGGAAUCUACUUUUUCGUGGGGGAUAACGUAGGGAAACUUACGCUAAUACCGCAUACGACCUACGGGUGAAAGCAGGGGAUCUUCGGACCUUGCGCGAUUGAAUGAGCCGAUGUCGGAUUAGCUAGUUGGCGGGGUAAAGGCCCACCAAGGCGACGAUCCGUAGCUGGUCUGAGAGGAUGAUCAGCCACACUGGAACUGAGACACGGUCCAGACUCCUACGGGAGGCAGCAGUGGGGAAUAUUGGACAAUGGGCGCAAGCCUGAUCCAGCCAUACCGCGUGGGUGAAGAAGGCCUUCGGGUUGUAAAGCCCUUUUGUUGGGAAAGAAAAGCAGCAGGUUAAUACCCCGCUGUUCUGACGGUACCCAGAGAAUAAGCACCGGCUAACUUCGUG